rnacentral:lncRNA from 1 species
CCCACUCUCCGCCCCGCCGCACGUCACCACGAUCGCGCACUGCACCUGCGCCCCGUCCACCGCCACGAUCGACGCGUACCUCGCCUGCACCUCCCCGGUCAGCCAGUGCCGCUGCACCGCCACCGGCACUUGCGACCAGGGGCGGAGCCAGGGGGGGCAGUGGGGUCACUGGACCCCCCUGGAAUUUCCAAAAAUCCCAGGGGUAUUUUAGUAAUUUUACAAAUAUAUUUAAAAAAAAUAAAAAAUAUUAAUUUGAGAGAGAGAAGAGAGUCCAAGGAGGCAGUGGUCGGUGGUUAUUUUGGAAGAGAGAGAGAGUUGCUAAAUGGGCUGCUGAGUGGGCUUAUUCUUUUAAUUAGAAUGGAAUUGUUUCCUUCUUUUAAUAUGCGAAUUCAGAAUGAUAUAGUUUCAUAUUUGAGAUGAGAAUUGGGAUGAGAGUAUAUAUAAUAAAUAUAUAUUAAUUAUAAUUUAAUCGGUUAAUUAAUCGGUUAUUCACAUAAAUUUAUUCCAGUGUCCUUCCAAAAAAUAAAACAAUAAAUUAUCGUACUAGUUUAGUGAUGCUAGACGAUUAAUGUGGUGGUUAUCUCAUCUGCUAUAAUAAUAAUUCAAAUGCAUUUACAGACAAUAUUUAUGGUAUGAUGUAUUAUGUAUAUUGUGACAGAACAAAGGUAUGUUGCUAAAUGGUAAGGUAUGUCUUUUCUAAAAGAAAUAUAUGCUAUAAUUUGAGUACUUUUUCUAGUUUUCUGCCCCGUUUCUGUAGAGCUUGCAAAUGAUGAUUUUGGGUAUUGACUUUACAAUAUAACUUGUGCUUGGUUAUUAAUAUGCCUUGCUAAUUGUUAUAUUGGACUUUUUUAAAAAAUAUUAUGUUUAUUUUUUUUAACUUGCUAUAUAAUUUAAAUAACAUUAUAAUUAUAUUAAUUAUUAUUAUUUAUUUUUAAUUUUUUUAUUUUAAUUAUUAUUUUUUUGUAAAAAAAAAAUUUUAGGACCCCCCUGAGUCGAAAGUCUGGCUCCGCCCCUGCUUGCGACGACAGGUUCGCCGCCCGCCGCCCCUCGGGGUCGAUCAGAAUCCAGCUCAGAUUCAUGCUCUCCAUCAUCUCCCGGCACUCCUCGUCCCCUUCCGGAUGCUUGAUCGCCGUCGGCACCGCGUC